CCUACGGGUGGCAGCAGUGGGGAAUAUUGGACAAUGGGCGCAAGCCUGAUCCAGCCAUGCCGCGUGAGUGAUGAAGGCCCUAGGGUUGUAAAGCUCUUUCAGUAGGGAAGAUAAUGACGGUACCUACAGAAGAAGCCCCGGCUAACUUCGUGCCAGCAGCCGCGGUAAUACGAAGGGGGCUAGCGUUGUUCGGAAUUACUGGGCGUAAAGCGCGCGUAGGCGGACAUUUAAGUCAGGGGUGAAAUCCCGGGGCUCAACCCCGGAACUGCCUCUGAUACUGGGUGUCUAGAGUUCGGAAGAGGUAAGUGGAAUUGCGAGUGUAGAGGUGAAAUUCGUAGAUAUUCGCAGGAACACCAGUGGCGAAGGCGACUUACUGGUCCGAUACUGACGCUGAGGUGCGAAAGCGUGGGGAGCAAACAGGAUUAGAUACCC
rnacentral:rRNA from 1 species